GGCUCAGGAUGAACGCUAGCGGCAGGCUUAAUACAUGCAAGUUCGUGGGGCAGCAUGAGUAGCAAUACUUGAUGGCGACCGGCAAACGGGUGAGGAACACGUACACAACCUUCCUUCAAGCGGGGAAUAGCCCAGAGAAAUUUGGAUUAAUACCCCAUAAUAUAUUUGAUAAGGCAUCUUAUUAAUAUUAAAGCUUCGGCACUUGAUGAUGGGUGUGCGGCUGAUUAGAUAGUUGGCGGGGUAACGGCCCACCAAGUCUACGAUCAGUAGCUGAUGUGAGAGCAUGAUCAGCCACACGGGCACUGAGACACGGGCCCGACUCCUACGGGAGGCAGCAGUAAGGAAUAUUGGACAAUGGACGAAAGUCUAAUCCAGCCAUGCCGCGUGAAGGAUUAAGGUCCUCUGGAUUGUAAACUUCUUUUAUAUGGGACGAAAAAAGGGCAUUCUUGUUCACUUGACGGUACCAUAUGAAUAAGCACCGGCUAACUCCGUG
rnacentral:rRNA from 1 species